rnacentral:misc_RNA from 1 species
UCCGGCUUAUCACCGGCAGUCCCACUAGAGUGCCCAACUGAAUGAUGUCAAACCCAGGUAAGGUUCUUCGCGUUGCAUCGAAUUAAUCCGCAUGCUCCGCCGCUUGUGCGGGCCCCCGUCAAUUCCUUUGAGUUUUAGCCUUGCGGCCGUACUCCCCAGGCGGGGCGCUUAAUGCGUUAGCUGCGGCACAGAGAACCGGAGAGGCCCCCCACACCUAGCGCCCAACGUUUACAGCGUGGACUAC